UGUGUCUUUCUGUGUGUCCAUGUGUGUGCAGAGGCCAGAGGGUGUCCCAAGAAACACAGGACAGUGUUUGCUAAUGGUGUUUGCUAAUGUCAGGCCACUCUUCUGCCCGUCAUGCGCUUUUCGACAGCCGGUGAUUUUCUUGGAGCGGACAUUCUUCCUCCACACGCUGAAAGCCUUCCACUUCCGGAAGAGCGAGAAUAUGGGGAUC